UCCCUUAUUUUUUCACAAUUAUUUAUAUAUUACUUAAACUAUGUAAAUAUCUAAUGAACUAAAUAAUAGGGAAUCUUGCAAAAUCUGUCAUAUUUCACUCUAUUUCUUUCAAUUUCUGUCAUAUUCUAAAACUUUUUUCAAAAUCUGCUACAUUUUGGUCCACGUGGAAUUCAGUGGACGAAAUUACCCUUAAGGUGGGUCAGCGCUCUGACGAAGAUGGUGACAUAACAACUUUUGGCCGAUGUGAUGAUAUAAGACGAAAAAUCAUGGUGGAAGCAUAAAGGAUUAGGGGACAGAAUAGUGGAGAACAGCUGGCUUCUACUGUUGUUAUUGGGUAUUUAAAAAUGACUUGUUUAAACAAAUUGGUUAUCCAAAAUUCUGCGGGGGACAACGUAAUAUAUAAUACAUUAGGAGACAUGAUUACCUGAUAUCGGGGGACAACGUAAUAUAUAAUGCAUUAGGAGACAUGAUUACCUGUUAGCAGAGAACAAUUGGAGCAAGACUUUUGUUUUAGUCUCCAGAUCUUGUCCCCGAAUAGAAAUUCUCUGUUGCAUCUACGUUUUGUCCUCGAUUUCAUCAUCUUGCUCUAUUAUUAUGAAUCAUACAUCUUAUAUGCAAUUGUUCUCAUUUAAGAAUUUUGAAUUUUAUUUAGAUUUUCGCCAUCUAUUUUGGUCCACAGAUUAGUUGAGCGUUAUUGUUUUCACAGAGAUGCUGAAACCAUCUAUUUUUCGCCAUCUUAUAUGAUAAUUUUGAAAGAUGAUAAAAUCGGGGACAAGAUCUAGAUACAACAGAUAAUUUAUGAUGAAUAAAAUUGGGAAACAAAUUUAAUUGAAAGUUAUAUAUAGAGAAUAUGUGCAGGUUGUCAGGGGAAGUGAUAGAAAGACAAAAGCUUUUCGUUUUGUCUUUGGAAAAAUAAUGGUGUAUGGUCAAAAUGCACGGAUUUCGAGGAAAUAGAGAUAAAAUAUAGAAGAAAUGGUGAGGAUAAAAUUGACAUUUCCCAUCUAAAUGUGGCAUGAGUUGUAAGACCUAGAAAAAUAAUGACACAUUAUAUAAGGAUUUUAAAAAAUAUGGCAUAGGAUAUAAUUUUUCCUAAAUAAUAUACCAACAAACA
rnacentral:sRNA from 1 species